UAAGAAAACAAAAUUCCUUUAAAAACAUCUUUAUUCCAUUUUCUUUAAAGAACAGAGGGGAAAAGGGGGGGGUUCUCUGCUAGGUUUUUUCUUAGCACCCUCCCCACACGUCGCCACCAUCAAAGAUCCACCGCCGCUGAGCCGUCCCUUGGCCUCCGACGACGCUCCGGCGACACCAGGUAGAAACGGCGUUGUGCGAAGCUGCUGAUCGUGGGUGAAGCGACGUGGGAGUGAUGGGCAGUUGCUGCAGCGUGGGGCAUUGUUGCGAGGGAAGAACGUGGGCAGUUGCGGUUGCUGCGGCGCUGAGGCACAAAAGCUGCCUAGGGCUGCUGUUGAAAAUUGUUAGGGCUAGGUAUUGGGCCAGUGUUGGAUUAUUGUAUUUGGGCCGAUGGGUUUGGGUUUGAUGUAAUCUGGGCUUUAGUUUUAGUUGGGCCCGGGUAAAAUUGGGUGUUACAGUGUUUAUAUUUUUAAAAUUGCAUUUCGGGUUAAUGUGUAAAAUUCACCUAAUUUAUUCUCAUUUACAUUCAAAUUACUUAUGUUUUGGAUAAA